GUUGCUUUGAUAAGAGGUGCUGUUCUCCUCCUGUUGGCUUCAGAGUGCUGUAAAAGAAGCGCCGAUUCAGAGUUACAGAAGUGGUGAGAAGAAAAAGGAGAGGUCAAGUAAUGCAGAGAGACAGAAACUCAGAUAUUAAACUUUCAGCAGAUGGAAUGAGUGCCCAUGUGCAAGCUUUGGUAGCAGAACAGCUUCAGGGGUUGGCCUUCAUGAGAAGAGACCUCCAUCUCCAACAGAGCCAGUGAUCUCUGAAAUACACCUGCUGCAGGAUAAAGAUCGAAAAGAAAUAUCUUCCUGGCAGCACUGCGUAUGGAAGGAAUAAGGAAAGUAACAAGGAGAAAGUUGCGCGCAUUUACAACAUGAAGAUGCUAUUCAAGGUCAGAAGAAGAAGGUCUUCUAUCUACGUAGAAGAAGGUGGAGACCAUAUAAACACUCAUUGAAAGAGACCCAUGGAGAAAACAGAAGUAGGGGAAAGCACUACAGCUGGAAAAUAAAUCUUGACAAUCCUCCAUUCUUGCUGUCAGACAACACCAGAAGCACACUGGCUUCAAGCAGUCCAGUAUCAAAGUGGAUUUGGAGAUUUGGCUAUU
rnacentral:lncRNA from 1 species